UGCCCCGUUCGGGUGACUUAACUAUACUAUUAACUCUCCCUCGGAGACCGCGAACGAAUGGCCAAGCCGGUACUUCUACAAAACGUUGGAUUUGUUUGAAAACGAGAAGAGGAAAAAAUGAAAAGAGAUCACAUUUCAUUGCCUCAUGCCCAGUCUGGAGGAGGGAUCAUGGCACUGAUCGAGAUAUCAACAAGACAUGUACUUUUACUAUCACAUUGCUUGCCAAUCUCUUAGGAUAAAGAACAUCAAUUGUUGAUCGGUGUCUGAUAAAUCCAAUCGGUGAUUGUGAAAUCAAUACCUGUGGUUGUAAAUGAAUUAAGAUCAGCUUUCCUUCAUUCCAUUCAGUUUAAUAUUUAGUUCGGAUCGAACUCGUCAUCAUCCCAUUUUCCGUUUGAUAAAGAUAAGAACAAUGAUCUUUGUCACGCUUGCUCAUAAGGACUGCUUUAUUUACUCUCCAGAUAAGAUAAACACCUACAAAGGCACGCGAUUACUUUUGGAAUCGCUUCUACAAGUGGAUGUCAUAUUGGCUCACCACGCUCCUGUUAAAUAUAGAACUGAUUACGAUCACCAAAUUGAGCGAUCCGGAACCAAAUAGCAAUGCCAUUCUCUGUUACAUAAUGAUAACCAUUGUCCAUCUUGGUUCAUUUGGUUUUCCAACUUGCUGGCAUUUCAGAUGGGCUCUUUGGAAGUUAGUAGCUAUCGAUGUUCUAUCAAGUGUUGGAAGUCGAUCGUCCAAACACCUGAAGGUAUCAAGUUAGGCUACACCCGUACCUGGUGAGCCUUAGUAAACUCUCGAUGCAUGAUAAGGCACGGGAUAAUUGCAAGGUUGAACGUUGUCUUGAUGAUGUGCAAGUUUACGUGUUUCGAAGCUUUAUCAGAUUGCCAGAAUGCGAAUGACCUUGUAAAUCAAAACAGAUGCACAGAUAACCCACUCCUGAAGGUAACAAGUUUUUUUUUCCAAAUGUCAGCAAUAUCUUAUGAACAUUAAUUUGAGGAUAACUUUGAAACCAUGGAACCAAGAGAUAUUCACGAAGUACACCGCGGAGACGAGACGAUCUUGAAUUUGUCGAUUUCAAUUCUCUUAAACUGAGUGAUUGGAAUCAAAGUUAAUCCACCAAGAUUACAAGAGCAUACAGUUGUGGAUCAUGGACCAUCUUCAACCAUCCAGAGUGAAUUCUAAGAUGUUCUACGUAACCAUGACAACAAAGAGAUCAUAUUGAGAGCCGGGACGGCUUGAAUGCUAGACAGAAAUCAUUUCUGAACAUAUUGAAAUUCAAUCAUGAAUUUGUUUGUCAAUUCUUAAAACGUUCGCUUAACUUUAGCAAAACGCUGGGUCGCUUAUAUGGUAGAUGUUGUUGUACUGUUGCACUAUACAUUCUUAUUCCAAUUUUGAUGCUCAACCGUUUUUUACUAGUGCAAUACAUUUUGUUCUUUCCUUA